CAGUUGACUUGAUUACACUGCAACACAUAGAGAGACGGGUGUUAAAUUAUAAAAGACAAGGAAAGUGGACAACCGGAGGUAACUACGACUUCAACUCUAAAACAAUCAGCGGGAAUGUGAUAUACGAAAAUGGAAAAUUUAAAGCCGAUGGCACGUUAACCUGGAACCCUAACAGUGGAUUUGGAGGAAACGUUGGGCUUUCCUACUCAUUCGGAUAACUCACUAGAAUAGUCUAGUGAGAAGUAUUUUGUUUUUUUUUGGUUGAAGAAAUAAAUAAAUAAAUAAAACUAU